AGGAUAGACUAAUUUACUUGGUGAACCAAUGCUCUGAUACCAAAUGAUGCGGAACCCCAAGACCCUUGCUUGAACCAUAGAACUCUUCAAUCGGUUUAGAACGGAAUUUAGAUCAUAAGUAAAAAAAGGAAUCAAAUUUGUUCAAUCACCCAAAUGGUAGAAGUUAAAGAGAACCCAAGAAAGAUAAAUGAUAUCCCUUGAACCCAAUCCAAACAAGCACCAAGAACAAUUGAAAUAGGAAAUCAAAAUUGAAAUACAAGUGAUAACAAUUGUAUUCCAAAUCAACACCUUGUGCAUAAAGUGAAAAGAAAGCCAAAACGCUCUCAACUAAAUUCUGAAAUGUCUGAUUACAACUCUUGAUGUCUACAAAGAAGAGUUCCUUGGGUAUUUAUAGCCAAAGAAAUCAAUGAUAAGUUACAAUACAAUAACUACAAUUGUAACUCCCACAAUAACUAUGAUAAUUAUGUGGUAAUUACAACUAUAACUCCCACAAUAACUAGGCUAAUUAUAGGCAUGUAAUUGUUAUGUAACUCCUUGUAACUCCAAUCUUCUUAACCAACACCACUAAUUGUUUGUGGCACCAUAUAGUUAUGGGCUCAUUCUUGUAAUAACAAUAAGACAAGAUUUAAGCCCAAAAUGAGUUAUACUUAACUAUAUGGGCUUAAUUAACUCAAACUAAA
rnacentral:lncRNA from 1 species